rfam:Salmo salar isolate Sally breed double haploid chromosome ssa27, whole genome shotgun sequence.
GCUCAGUUGGUAGAGCAUGGUGUUUGCAACGCCAGCAUGGUGUGUGCAACGCCAGGGUUGUGGGUUCGAUUCCCAC